UACGUAGGGUGCAAGCGUUGUCCGGAAUUAUUGGGCGUAAAGAGCUCGUAGGCGGUUCGUCGCGUCUGCCGUGAAAGUCCGGGGCUCAACUCCGGAUCUGCGGUGGGUACGGGCAGACUAGAGUGAUGUAGGGGAGACUGGAAUUCCUGGUGUAGCGGUGAAAUGCGCAGAUAUCAGGAGGAACACCGAUGGCGAAGGCAGGUCUCUGGGCAUUAACUGACGCUGAGGAGCGAAAGCAUGGGGAGCGAACAGG
rnacentral:rRNA from 1 species